UCCGGCAUAGCUCAGCGGUAGAGCGGGUGGCUGUUAACCACUAGGUCGUAGGUUCGAAUCCUACUGCCGGAGCCA
rnacentral:tRNA from 1 species